rnacentral:rRNA from 1 species
UCGGGUUGUAAAAUCCUUUACGGGGUGACGAGGAAGGACGGUAGCCCCGGAACAAGCGUCGGCUAACUACGUGCCAGCAGCCGCGGUAAGACGUAGGACGCAAGCGUUAUCCGGAUUUACUGGGCGUAAAGCGUCUGUAGGCGGAUGAGUAAGUUGGGCGUGAAAGCUCCGGGCUCAACCCGGAGAGGCCGUUCAAUACUGCUGAUCUAGAGGAGGCCAGAGGGGAGUGGAAUUCCUGGAGUAGCGGUAAAAUGCGCAGAUAUCAGGAAGAACACCAGUGGCGAAGGCGGCUCCCUAGGGCCCACCUGACGCUGAGAGACGACAGCUAGGGGAGCGAACAGGAUUAGAGACCCUGGUAGUCCUAGCCGUAAACGAUGGAUGCUAGGUGUAGGGCCGUAGAGGCUCUGUGCCGGAGCGAACGCGAUAAGCAUCCCGCCUGGGGAGUACGGCCGCAAGGCUAAAACUCAAACGAAUUGACGGGGACCCGCACAAGCAGCGGAGCGUGUGGUUUAAUUUGAUGCUACACGAAGAACCUUACCUGGGUUUGACAUGGGCGUGGUAGUGAAGCGAAAGCGGAGCGACCCUUCGGGGAGCGUCCACAGGUGCUGCAUGGCUGUCGUCAGCUCGUGCCGUGAGGUGUCGGGUUAAGUCCCGUAACGAGCGCAACCCUUGCCCUUAGUUACAAGUGUCUAAGGGGACUGCCGGCGGGAAGCCGGAGGAAGGUGGGGAUGACGUCAAGUCAGCAUGGCCCUUAUAUCCAGGGCUACACACACGCUACAAUGGCCGGUACAGAGGGCAGCGAAGCCGCGAGGUGGAGCGAAUCCCAGAAAGCCGGUCGUAGUUCGGAUUGCAGGCUGCAACCCGCCUGCAUGAAGCUGGAGUUGCUAGUAACCGCGCGUCAGCCAUAGUGCGGUGAAUACGUUCCCGGGUCUUGUACACACCGCCCGUCACGUCAUGGGAGUCGGUAACGCCUGAAGCCGGUAGCCUGACCCGCAAGGGAGGCGCUGUCGAGG